UCUCAUUGAAAAAUUAAUAACUUCCGCUCAGCAUGUGCUCUAGGAGGCCAACAGUGCAGCAGAUUGGGUGGCUUCCUUCAUUGCUAGCCAUUCCGACGAUUGAAGCUGGCGCCCUAGUGUUUUUUGCCCCUGAGGCUUGAGGAAUGUUCUCUUUUCUGACUUUUUGGAUUGUACUCGCAUCAGAACUGUGUGAUUGCCCGCAUGUACCAAAAAAAAAAAAUUGAUAACUUGGGUUUGAAACUAAAAGUUAAAUCAUUAGCUAAUUAAACGAAGCAUCACUUACAAGCAUGAUUAUAAUUGCAAUAAAAAAAGAGCACGACAACAAUAUAU
rnacentral:lncRNA from 1 species